rnacentral:rRNA from 1 species
AUUGAACGCUGGCGGCAUGCUUUACACAUGCAAGUCGAACGAGUGGCGAACGGGUGAGUAACGCAUCGGAACGUACCGGAUACAGGGGGAUAACUAUCGGAAACGGUGGCUAAUACCGCAUAUUAUUUGAGCGGCCGAUGUGGGAUUAGCUGGUUGGCGGGGUAAAGGCCCACCAAGGCGACGAUCAGUAGCGGGUCUGAGAGGAUGAUCAGCCACACUGGGACUGAGACACGGCCCAGACUCCUACGGGAGGCAGCAGUGGGGAAUUUUGGACAAUGGGCGCAAGCCUGAUGCAGCCAUGCCGCGUGUAUGAAGAAGGCCUUCGGGUUGUAAAGGACUUUUGUCAGGGAAGCGUUACCUGAAGAAUAAGCACCGGCUAACUACGUGCCAGCAGCCGCGGUAAUUC